UGGGACAGAUGAUUGGGGUGAAGUCGUAACAAGGUAGCCGUAGGAGAACCUGCGGCUGGAUCACCUCCUUUCUAAGGAAUAA
rnacentral:rRNA from 1 species